rnacentral:rRNA from 1 species
AACGAACGCUGGCGGCAGGCUUAACACAUGCAAGUCGAGCGCCCCGCAAGGGGAGCGGCAGACGGGUGAGUAACGCGUGGGAAUCUACCCAUCUCUACGGAAUAACGCAUGGAAACGUGUGCUAAUACCGUAUACGUCCUUCGGGAGAAAGAUUUAUCGGAGAUGGAUGGGCCCGCGUUGGAUUAGCUAGUUGGUGGGGUAAAGGCCUACCAAGGCGACGAUCCAUAGCUGGUCUGAGAGGACGAUCAGCCACACUGGGACUGAGACACGGCCCAGACUCCUACGGGAGGCAGCAGUGGGGAAUAUUGGACAAUGGGCGCAAGCCUGAUCCAGCCAUGCCGCGUGAGUGAUGAAGGCCCUAGGGUUGUAAAGCUCUUUCACCGGUGAAGAUAAUGACGGUAACCGGAGAAGAAGCCCCGGCUAACUUCGUGCCAGCCGCCGCAGUAACAC